UUGUUUUUGUGCCAAAACCUUAUCAAACCAUAACAAUACUGUACAAUACAUAUUAUAUUUUAAUUAUUAGUUAAUUUUCCACAAAUGUGAUUUGAAACGGUUUUGACAGGCAGUGACAAAUUACGUCAUCCUGCCAAUAGGGACAUCAGUACACCAACAGCUGCACCUCCAGUCAUAAGUCCGUCACGCUUCUGAAGUGUGUGGACAGCACCAUCCUUACUGGGCUAAUCUCUGGUAGGGAUGAGUCCACCUACAGGUGGGAAAUUGACAAUCUGGUGACUUGGUGUGGACAAAACAACUUGAAGUUCAACGCUUGUAUCAUUGGUUCCCCUGAGAAGGUGAUCGGCUGCAAUCUCCCAACCUCCAGGACCUAUACACCUGCAGUAAGGUCAGGUAAGCAGAAAAGAUUGUUGCCAACCCCUACCACCUCAGACACAAACUAAUUUAGACACUCCCCCCGGCAGGAGGCUGCAGCCCAUCAGGAUCAAAAUCUCACGCCACAAGAACAGUUUGUUCUGAGCUGGCCUCAUCAACGUGGCCUGGGACACGGACAUGGACUAAGAUGGACUCUUAUCCGCCCCUCUCCCCAACAGUUAAACACUACACAUUACAUGCUCACCAGACUAUUCUCCUAAAAAAUAGGCAGGUGUGGCUAUAAUGCUGUAAAGGGUCGUCGGCCAUGCGGGGCCAGGCCACGUAGCAGAGGGUCCUGCGGGGCAGAGUUCGGGUGGUGGAGAAGUAGCAGAGAGGGAAGGCCAGAACCACAGCCAGGCUCCAGAUACAGACGAUGACUCCUGUGGUGGCCUUCGCUGAAAGACGAGGCUUCAGGGGAUGGAUGAUGGCCAUGUACCUGCAGUUCUCCCUGCGUUGCAGUUUACAUAUAUCACUACACUUGAAGCUCUAAUGAUGUGACAUCCAAAGCUUCAACACAAGAACAAAAAAGUGCCUAAGGAAACACACUUGGAAGCACAGAGAGUGAGCAGGAAGGACAAAUUCACAGAUGAUCAUGAACUGUGGCCUCACGCCAUUUCAAGACAUCAGAGCGGAGACAGCACCAUACUGGGGUUUCGAAAAGCAUGACCCGAGGUUACAUCUACAUCAUGUAGGUCAUGCCAAUGUUCUCUUUCUCAGUACACAGUUGACAGAAUCGAAUGGACACUGCAGACCAAAAAUACAAAAGCAUGGAUGUUGCUGUAGAGGAGCCAAAAUGAGCACGCCCUCAGGAAAUGCAUUGUUCCCUUUUUGUGUCAAGAAGAAGUACAGGAGGAGAAAACACCUUGCAGAAAACGACAACACACUUUGACUCUUGUACACUAUCUGUAGACACACACGGCGUGUGCAUGCAGCUUCUUUUUGUUUUCAUUAUGUUCGGCCUGUGGCUGCCUCCUUCAUCAGUCUAAUCCCUUUAUUCAAACAUUAUGACGUAUGAUGGACCACUGAUCAGUAUCAAAGGCCGGCAGAUACUGAUGACUGCAUCACCACAUUACUGGAAACCACAGGGGCAGGAACAGAGAAAGAGAUGGAGGAACAAAGGAAAAAAGAGUAAAGAAGAUAAAUAACACGAGUGCAUGUGACAGAGAACAAGAGAGUCAGAGAGCGUAAAAGCAUUGAGGAAAGGAUGAUCUUUCCUAGGGUGUUGGCACAGAAGGAAUCACUGCAUCACAGACACUUAGCGAAACAACAGCUGCAGUAUAUGAUUCCCUAGCAGUAAAAUAAAUGUAAAAAUAAACAUGGGGCCCAUUUGUCACCCUGCUGUGCAACCUCCUUUCCAGUAUCACAAUGCAAAUCACAAACAAGGAAUUUCCCACUCCACCAGUGAAAUACAUGUAUGCUUGAAUCAGCAGGGAGCACAAGCUCUGAUGAAAUAAUGUGGGGAGGAAGCAUAAAGCCCAAAAUAUGCCAUCAUUGGAAUUUAAAUUAAACUAAUGGGGACUCCAUGCAAGGAAGUUCUUGCAUGGGCAUGAGAGCAGAAAGCACAUCCAAUUGCUUUAACUGCAUAAGCCUUGAGAAAUGGAGUGCAGUUUGUCUUCAAGCAAGGCAAAACAGUGAUCUGAGUUUUUUAAGCACAAGAUUACAUUUUCAGCCACUGCUGGAGGAAGUCAGCAUAACCAAGUGGAAUAAUGAGAAACGAGAUGUCCGAACAAUCAUGCAUAAAGCACAUGAGAUGAAAGUGUUCGGUGACAAGGAUUUUUGUCUCCCAUCUGUAACGUUAUAUCUAGGACAUUCAUUUGCUGUGCAUGUGAUUUCAGAGCUCUGAUGAUUAA